rnacentral:rRNA from 1 species
GUGAACUGCGGAAGGAUCAUUACA